rnacentral:rRNA from 1 species
GAUGAACGCUGGCGGCGUGCCUAAUACAUGCAAGUAGAACGCUGAAGGAAGGAGCUUGCUCUUUCCGGAUGAGUUGCGAACGGGUGAGUAACGCGUAGGUAACCUGCCUGGUAGCGGGGGAUAACUAUUGGAAACGAUAGCUAAUACCGCAUAACAGUAGAUGUUGCAUGAUAUCUACUUAAAAGGUGCAAUUGCACCACUACCAGAUGGACCUGCGUUGUAUUAGCUAGUUGGUGAGGUAACGGCUCACCAAGGCGACGAUACAUAGCCGACCUGAGAGGGUGAUCGGCCACACUGGGACUGAGACACGGCCCAGACUCCUGCGGGAGGCAGCAGUAGGGAAUCUUCGGCAAUGGACGGAAGUCUGACCGAGCAACGCCGCGUGAGUGAAGAAGGUUUUCGGAUCGUAAAGCUCUGUUGUAAGAGAAGAACGAGUGUGAGAGUGGAAAGUUCACACUGUGACGGUAUCUUACCAGAAAGGGACGGCUAACUACGUG